UACGUAGGGUGCAAGCGUUGUCCGGAAUUAUUGGGCGUAAAGAGCUCGUAGGCGGCUUGUCGCGUCGGCUGUGAAAACCUGGGGCUCAACCCCGGGCCGUGCAGCCGAUACGGGCAAGCUAGAAUUCGGUGAGGGGAGACUGGAAUUCCGGUGUGAGCGGUGAAAUGCGCAGAGUAUCAGGAGGAACACCGGUGGCGAAGGCGGGUCUCGUGGGCCGUUAGCCUGGACGCCUGGAGGCGCGGAAAGCCUAGGGGAGCAAAC
rnacentral:rRNA from 1 species